AUAAAACACCGACUCUCGUACGAUCACCGAAGUUAAGCAACCUCGAGACUGGUCAGUACCUAGAUGGGUGACCGCUUGGGAGUACCGGGUGCUAUA